rnacentral:rRNA from 1 species
GCGGCGUGCUUAACACAUGCAAGUCGAACGAUGAACCACUUCGGUGGGGAUUAGUGGCGAACGGGUGAGUAACACGUGGGCAAUCUGCCCUUCACUCUGGGACAAGCCCUGGAAACGGGGUCUAAUACCGGAUAACACUCUUACGGGCAUCUGUGAGGGUUAAAAGCUCCGGCGGUGAAGGAUGAGCCCGCGGCCUAUCAGCUUGUUGGUGAGGUAAUGGCUCACCAAGGCGACGACGGGUAGCCGGCCUGAGAGGGCGACCGGCCACACUGGGACUGAGACACGGCCCAGACUCCUACGGGAGGCAGCAGUGGGGAAUAUUGCACAAUGGGCGAAAGCCUGAUGCAGCGACGCCGCGUGAGGGAUGACGGCCUUCGGGUUGUAAACCUCUUUCAGCAGGGAAGAAGCGAAAGUGACGGUACCUGCAGAAGAAGCGCCGGCUAACUACGUGCCAGCAGCCGCGGUAAUACGUAGGGCGCAAGCGUUGUCCGGAAUUAUUGGGCGUAAAGAGCUCGUAGGCGGCUUGUCACGUCGAUUGUGAAAGCCCGAGGCUUAACCUCGGGUCUGCAGUCGAUACGGGCUAGCUAGAGUGUGGUAGGGGAGAUCGGAAUUCCUGGUGUAGCGGUGAAAUGCGCAGAUAUCAGGAGGAACACCGGUGGCGAAGGCGGAUCUCUGGGCCAUUACUGACGCUGAGGAGCGAAAGCGUGGGGAGCGAACAGGAUUAGAUACCCUGGUAGUCCACGCCGUAAACGGUGGGAACUAGGUGUUGGCGACAUUCCACGUCGUCGGUGCCGCAGCUAACGCAUUAAGUUCCC